GACAGAGGGUGCAAACGUUGUUCGGAAUUACUGGGCGUAAAGCGUGCGCAGGCGGCGAUGUAAGUCAGAUGUGAAAUCCCCGGGCUCAACCUGGGAACUGCAUUUGUGACUGCAUCGCUGGAGUGCGGCAGAGGGGGAUGGAAUUCCGCGUGUAGCAGUGAAAUGCGUAGAUAUGCGGAGGAACACCGAUGGCGAAGGCAAUCCCCUGGACCUGUACUGACGCUCAUGCACGAAAGCGUGGGGAGCAAACAGG
rnacentral:rRNA from 1 species